GGAGAAAUUAAAAUACACUUGACUGGCAGUCAAGAGGUCGUGGGUUCGAGUCCCAUCUUCUCCA
rnacentral:tRNA from 1 species